UACCUUUGCUCAUUGACGUUACCCGCAGAAGAAGCACCGGCUAACUCCGUGCCAGCAGCCGCGGUAAUACGGAGGGUGCAAGCGUUAAUCGGAAUUACUGGGCGUAAAGCGCACGCACGCGCGUUCUUAAGUCAGAUGUGAAAUCCCCGGGCUCAACCUGGGAACUGCAUCUGAUACUCGCAAGCUUNUCUCGUAGAGGGGGGUAGAAUUCCAGGUGUAGCGGUGAAAUGCGUAGAGAUCUGGAGGAAAUACCGAUGGCGAAGGCGGCCCCCUGGACGAASACUGACGCUCAGGUGCGAAAGCGUGGGGAGCAACAGGAUUAGMUACCCUGGUAGUCCACGCCGUAAACGAUGUCGACUUGGAGGUUUGUGCCCUUGAGGCGUGGCUUCCGGACUAACGCGUUAAGUCGACCGCCUGGGGAGUACGGCCG
rnacentral:rRNA from 1 species